GCCGGGUGUGUUGGCUCACACCUGUAAUCCCAGUACUGUGGGAGGCUGAGAUGGGUGGAUCACCUGAGAUCAGGAGUUUGAGACCAGCCUGGUCAACAUGGUGAAAUCCCAUCUCUA
ensembl:misc_RNA Metazoa_SRP Metazoan signal recognition particle RNA